GACUCUCGGGAAUAGAUAUCUCGGCUCUCGCAUCGAUGAAGAACGUAGCAAAAUGUGAUACUUGGUGUGAAUUGUAGAAUCCUGUAAACUAUAAAGUAUUUGAACGCAAGUUACGGCCAAAGUCAUUAGGCCGAGGGCACGUCUGCCUGGGCAUCA
rfam:Capsicum annuum cultivar Zunla-1 unplaced genomic scaffold scaffold2697, whole genome shotgun sequence